rnacentral:rRNA from 1 species
GAGUGAAGCGGCAACAGCUCAAAUUUGAAAUCUGGCUUCGGCCCGAGUUGUAAUUUGCAGAGGAAGCUUUAGGCGCGGCACCUUCUGAGUCCCCUGGAACGGGGCGCCAUAGAGGGUGAGAGCCCCGUAUAGUUGGAUGCCUAGCCUGUGUAAAGCUCCUUCGACGAGUCGAGUAGUUUGGGAAUGCUGCUCAAAAUGGGAGGUAAAUUUCUUCUAAAGCUAAAUACCGGCCAGAGACCGAUAGCGCACAAGUAGAGUGAUCGAAAGAUGAAAAGCACUUUGAAAAGAGGGUUAAACAGCACGUGAAAUUGUUGAAAGGGAAGCGCUUGUGACCAGACUUGCGCCAGGCUGAUCAUCCGGUGUUCUCACCGGUGCACUCGGCCCGGCACAGGCCAGCAUCGGUUCUCGCGGGGGGAUAAAGGUCUCGGGAACGUAGCUCCUCCGGGAGUGUUAUAGCCCGGGGCGUAAUGCCCUCGCGGGGACCGAGGUUCGCGCAUCUGCAAGGAUGCUGGCGUAAUGGUCAUCAGCGACCCGUCUUGAAACACGGACCAAGGAGUCAAGGUUUUGCGCGAGUGUUUGGGUGUCAAACCCGCACGCGUAAUGAAAGUGAACGUAGGUGAGAGCUUCGGCGCAUCAUCGACCGAUCCUGAUGUUUUCGGAUGGAUUUGAGUAGGAGCGUUAAGCCUUGGACCCGAAAGAUGGUGAACUAUGCUUGGAUAGGGUGAAGCCAGAGGAAACUCUGGUGGAGGCUCGCAGCGGUUCUGACGUGCAAAUCGAUCGUCAAAUCUGAGCAUGGGGGCGAAAGACUAAUCGAACCAUCUAGUAGCUGGUUACCGCCGAA